CCUACGGGAGGCAGCAGUGGGGAAUAUUGCACAAUGGGGGGAACCCUGAUGCAGCGACGCCGCGUGGGUGAAGGAGUACUUCGGUACGUAAAGCCCUAUCAGCAGGAAAGAAAAUGACGGUACCUGACUAAGAAGCCCCGGCUAACUACGUGCCAGCAGCCGCGGUAAUACGUAGGGGGCAAGCAUUAUCCGGAUUUACUGGGGGUAAAGGGAGCGUAGACGGCAGUGCAAGUCCGGGGUGAAAGCCCGGGGCUCAACCCUGGGACUGCUCUGGAAACUGUAAAGCUGGAGUGCGGGAGGGGGAAGCGGAAAUUCUGGUGUAGGAGGGAAAAUCGUAGAUAUCAGGAGGAAAACCCGGGGCGGAGGCGGGCUGGUGGGCCGUAACUGACGGUGAGGGGCGAAAGCGUGGGGAGCAAACAGGAUUAGAUACCCUGGUAGUC
rnacentral:rRNA from 1 species